rnacentral:rRNA from 1 species
ACGGGAGACACACGGCGGGUGCUAACGUCCGUCGUGAAGAGGGAAACAACCCAGACCGCCAGCUAAGGUCCCAAAGUCAUGGUUAAGUGGGAAACGAUGUGGGAAGGCCCAGACAGCCAGGAUGUUGGCUUAGAAGCAGCCAUCAUUUAAAGAAAGCGUAAUAGCUCACUGGUCGAGUCGGCCUGCGCGGAAGAUGUAACGGGGCUAAACCAUGCACCGAAGCUGCGGCAGCGACACUGUGUGUUGUUGGGUAGGGGAGCGUUCUGUAAGCCUGUGAAGGUGUGUCGUGAGGCAUGCUGGAGGUAUCAGAAGUGCGAAUGCUGACAUAAGUAACGAUAAAGCGGGUGAAAAGCCCGCUCGCCGGAAGACCAAGGGUUCCUGUCCAACGUUAAUCGGGGCAGGGUGAGUCGACCCCUAAGGCGAGGCCGAAAGGCGUAGUCGAUGGGAAACGGGUUAAUAUUCCCGUACUUGGUGUUACUGCGAAGGGGGGACGGAGAAGGCUAUGUUGGCCGGGCGACGGUUGUCCCGGUUUAAGCGUGUAGGUGUGUGUUCCAGGUAAAUCCGGUUCACUUUAACACUGAGGCGUGACGACGAGGCACUACGGUGCUGAAGCAACAAAUGCCCUGCUUCCAGGAAAAGCCUCUAAGCAUCAGGUAACAUCAAAUCGUACCCCAAACCGACACAGGUGGUCAGGUAGAGAAUACCAAGGCGCUUGAGAGAACUCGGGUGAAGGAACUAGGCAAAAUGGUGCCGUAACUUCGGGAGAAGGCACGCUGACACGUAGGUGAAGUGAUUUACUCAUGGAGCUGAAGUCAGUCGAAGAUACCAGCUGGCUGCAACUGUUUAUUAAAAACACAGCACUGUGCAAACACGAAAGUGGACGUAUACGGUGUGACGCCUGCCCGGUGCCGGAAGGUUAAUUGAUGGGGUCAGCGCAAGCGAAGCUCCUGAUCGAAGCCCCGGUAAACGGCGGCCGUAACUAUAACGGUCCUAAGGUAGCGAAAUUCCUUGUCGGGUAAGUUCCGACCUGCACGAAUGGCGUAAUGAUGGCCAGGCUGUCUCCACCCGAGACUCAGUGAAAUUGAACUCGCUGUGAAGAUGCAGUGUACCCGCGGCAAGACGGAAAGACCCCGUGAACCUUUACUAUAGCUUGACACUGAACAUUGAGCCUUGAUGUGUAGGAUAGGUGGGAGGCUUUGAAGUGUGGACGCCAGUCUGCAUGGAGCCGACCUUGAAAUACCACCCUUUAAUGUUUGAUGUUCUAACGUGGACCCGU